AUUACCGGUUCCCAUACGAUCACCGAAGUUAAGCAACAUUGAGCCUGGUCAGUACCUAGAUGGAUGACCGCUUGGAAAUAUCAGGUGCUGUAA